rnacentral:rRNA from 1 species
CACGUAGGGGGCAAGCGUUGUCCGGAUUUAUUGGGCGUAAAGAGCGUGUAGGCGGCCCGGUAAGUCCGCUGUAAAAGUCAAAGGCUCAACCUUUGAAUGUCAGUGGAUACUGCCGGGCUAGAGUCCGGAAGAGGCGAGUGGAAUUCCUGGUGUAGCGGUGAAAUGCGCAGAUAUCAGGAGGAACACCAAUGGCGAAGGCAGCUCGCUGGGACGUGACUGACGCUGAGACGCGAAAGCGUGGGGAGCAAACAGG